AGAGUUUGAUCCUGGCUCAGGAUAAACGCUGGCGGCGUGCAUAACACAUGCAAGUCGAACGAUGAAGAUUAAAAGAUUUCUUCGGAAUGAAUUUAAUUGGAUUAGUGGCGGACGGGUGAGUAACGCGUGAGUAACCUGCCUUGUACAAGGGGAUAGCCGUUGGAAACGACGAAUAAUACCCUAUGACAUCAAAUAAUCGCAUGAUAAUUUGAUCAAAGAUUUAUCGGUAUAAGAUGGACUCGCGUCUGAUUAGCUAGUUGGUGGGGUAAAAGCCUACCAAGGCAACGAUCAGUAGCCGGCUUGAGAGAGUGUACGGCCACAUUGGGACUGAGACACGGCCCAGACUCCUACGGGAGGCAGCAGUGGGGAAUUUUGCACAAUGGGGGAAACCCUGAUGCAGCGACGCCGCGUGAUUUAGAAGGCCUUCGGGUUGUAAAAAUCUUUUGUAUGGGAAGAAAAUGACAGUACCAUACGAAUAAGGACCGGCUAAUUACGUGCCAGCAGCCGCGGUAAUACGUAAGGUCCGAGCGUUGUCCGGAAUCAUUGGGCGUAAAGGGUACGUAGGCGGAUAAGCAAGUUAGAAGUUAAAUCCUAUAGCUCAACUAUAGCAAGCUUUUAAAACUGCUCAUCUUGAGGUAUGGAAGGGAAAGUGGAAUUCCUAGUGUAGCGGUGAAAUGCGCAGAUAUUAGGAGGAAUACCGGUGGCGAAGGCGACUUUCUGGCCAUAAACUGACGCUGAGGUACGAAAGCGUGGGUAGCAAACAGGAUUAGAUACCCUGGUAGUCCACGCCGUAAACGAUGAGUGUUAGGUGUCUGGAAUAAUCUGGGUGCCGCAGCUAACGCAUUAAACACUCCGCCUGGGGAGUACGCACGCAAGUAUGAAACUCAAAGGAAUUGACGGGGACCCGCACAAGCAGCGGAGCAUGUGGUUUAAUUCGACGCAACGCGAAGAACCUUACCAAGUCUUGACAUAAUACGGAAGCUAUUAGAGAUAAGAGCCUACAUCUUCGGAUGACUGUAUUACAGGUGGUGCAUGGUUGUCGUCAGCUCGUGUCGUGAGAUGUUGGGUUAAGUCCC
rnacentral:rRNA from 1 species